rnacentral:rRNA from 1 species
ACUCGAGUGGCGAACGGGUGAGUAACACGUGGGUGAUCUGCCCUGCACUUCGGGAUAAGCUUGGGAAACUGGGUCUAAUACCGGAUAGGAGCCAUCUUUAGUGUGGUGGUUGAAAAGUCUUUUCGGUGUAGGAUGAGCUCGCGGCCUAUCAGCUUGUUGGUGGGGUAAUGGCCUACCAAGGCGGCGACGGGUAGCCGGCCUGAGAGGGUGUACGGCCACAUUGGGACUGAGAUACGGCCCAG